rnacentral:ncRNA from 15 species
CUUAAUUGAGCCCACCCACAACGGCUGGUCUGCCGGACGUCCCUGCCCAUACGUGGCCAGCAAUGCCUGCGCUUC